UACGGAGGGUGCAAGCGUUAUCCGGAUUCACUGGGUUUAAAGGGUGCGUAGGCGGGUUGGUAAGUCCGUGGUGAAAUCUCCGAGCUUAACUCGGAAACUGCCGUGGAUACUAUCAAUCUUGAAUAUCGUGGAGGUAAGCGGAAUAUGUCAUGUAGCGGUGAAAUGCUUAGAUAUGACAUAGAACACCAAUUGCGUAGGCAGCUUACUACACGAUCAUUGACGCUGAGGCACGAAAGCGUGGGGAGCAAAC
rnacentral:rRNA from 1 species